AACGGUCCUAAGGUAGCGAAAUUCCUUGUCGGGUAAGUUCCGACCUGCACGAAUGGCGUAAUGAUGGCCAGGCUGUCUCCACCCGAGACUCAGUGAAAUUGAACUCGCUGUGAAGAUGCAGUGUACCCGCGGCAAGACGGAAAGACCCCGUGAACCUUUACUAUAGCUUGACACUGAACAUUGAGCCUUGAUGUGUAGGAUAGGUGGGAGGCUUUGAAGCGUGGACGCCAGUCUGCGUGGAGCCAUCCUUGAAAUACCACCCUUUAAUGUUUGAUGUUCUAACUCGGCCCCAUAAUCUGGGGUGAGGACAGUGUCUGGUGGGUAGUUUGACUGGGGCGGUCUCCUCCCAAAGAGUAACGGAGGAGCACGAAGGUUAGCUAAUCACGGUCGGACAUCGUGAGGUUAGUGCAAAGGCAUAAGCUAGCUUGACUGCGAGAGUGACGGCUCGAGCAGGUACGAAAGUAGGUCUUAGUGAUCCGGUGGUUCUGAAUGGAAGGGCCAUCGCUCAACGGAUAAAAGGUACUCCGGGGAUAACAGGCUGAUACCGCCCAAGAGUUCAUAUCGACGGCGGUGUUUGGCACCUCGAUGUCGGCUCAUCACAUCCUGGGGCUGAAGUAGGUCCCAAGGGUAUGGCUGUUCGCCAUUUAAAGUGGUACGCGAGCUGGGUUUAGAACGUCGUGAGACAGUUCGGUCCCUAUCUGCCGUGGGCGUUGGAAGAUUGAGAGGGGUUGCUCCUAGUACGAGAGGACCGGAGUGAACGCACCACUGGUGUUCGGGUUGUCAUGCCAAUGGCAUUGCCCGGUAGCUAAGUGCGGAAAAGAUAAGCGCUGAAAGCAUC
rnacentral:rRNA from 1 species